ACUCAAAUGAAUAGACGGGGACCCGCACAAGCGGUGGAGCAUGUGGUUUAAUUCGAGGCAACGCGAAGAACCUUACCAAGGCUUGACAUCCCGCUGACGCUAGUAGAAAUAAUAGUUUCCUUCGGGACAGCGGAGACAGGUGGUGCAUGGUUGUCGUCAGCUCGUGUCGUGAGAUGUUGGGUUAAGUCCCGCAACGAGCGCAACCCUUAUCUUUAGUAACCAGCGCGUCAAGGCGGGCACACUAGAGAGACUGCCGCGGCAUAACGCGGAGGAAGGUGGGGAUGAGGUCAAAUCAUCAUGCCCCUUAUGUCUUGGGCUACACACGUGCUACAAUGGCUGCAACAGAGUGAAGCAAGUCCGCGAGGAUGAGCGAAACACAAAAAAGCAGUCUCAGUUCGGAUUGUAGUCUGCAACCCGACUACAUGAAGUUGGAAUCGCUAGUAAUCGCGAAUCAGCACGUCGCGGUGAAUACGUUCCCGGGUCUUGCACACACCGCCCGU
rnacentral:rRNA from 1 species